GACGAACGCUGGCGGCGUGCCUAACACAUGCAAGUCGAACGGAACUGUUUUGAAAGAUUUCUUCGGAAUGAAUUUGAUUUAGUUUAGUGGCGGACGGGUGAGUAACGCGUGAGUAACCUGCCUUCAAGAGGGGGAUAACAUUCUGAAAAGAAUGCUAAUACCGCAUGACAUAUCGGAACCACAUGGUUUUGAUAUCAAAGAUUUUAUCGCUUGAAGAUGGACUCGCGUCCGAUUAGUUAGUUGGUGAGGUAACGGCUCACCAAGACCGCGAUCGGUAGCCGGACUGAGAGGUUGAACGGCCACAUUGGGACUGAGACACGGCCCAGACUCCUACGGGAGGCAGCAGUGGGGGAUAUUGCGCAAUGGGGGCAACCCUGACGCAGCAACGCCGCGUGAAGGAUGAAGGUUUUCGGAUUGUAAACUUCUUUUAUUAAGGACGAAAAAUGACGGUACUUAAUGAAUAAGCUCCGGCUAACUACGUGCCAGCAGCCGCGGUAAUACGUAGGGAGCAAGCGUUGUCCGGAUUUACUGGGUGUAAAGGGUGCGUAGGCGGCUUUGCAAGUCAGAUGUGAAAUCUAUGGGCUCAACCCAUAAACUGCAUUUGAAACUGUAGAGCUUGAGUGAAGUAGAGGCAGGCGGAAUUCCCCGUGUAGCGGUGAAAUGCGUAGAGAUGGGGAGGAACACCAGUGGCGAAGGCGGCCUGCUGGGCUUUAACUGACGCUGAGGCACGAAAGCGUGGGUAGCAAACAGGAUUAGAUACCCUGGUAGUCCACGCUGUAAA
rnacentral:rRNA from 1 species